rnacentral:ncRNA from 1 species
CCUUGGGUUUGAUGGUUGAAAUGAUGUGUUUUAGAUGUUUUUGUUUUUAUCAUCAAAGUUUUAUUCUUGCUUAAUUAUUCACUUUAUCUUUAUAUUAUAUACUAGUUUUGAAUACUAAAUGUUUCGUUGAUGUAGUAAUUUAAUUUAAUAAAAUCAAGUUAAUUUGGAAUUAGUAAUUGAUUAAGUUUUGACUAAUUUUGUGCCAGCAGUCGCGGUUAUACAAUUUAUGCAAGUGAAUAUUUUUGACUUUACAGUUAAUUAUUCUUUAUAAGUGUAUAAUUAUGUAUUUUGUAGGUGAAAUUUUUUAUUUAUUUAAUAUUCUUAUUUUUGAUUCUGUGAAAUUUAAAUUAUAAACUAGGAUUAGAUACCCUAUUAUUUUAAUUGUAAAAGUUUGUUAGGGUAUUAAUAGUUAAGUUCUUAAAACCUAAAGAAUUUGGCGGCAUUUUAUUCCAUUCAGAGGAACCUACCCCAUGAUUGAUAGUACACGAUUAGUAUAACUUGAUUUAUUUGUUUAUAUCUCCGCUAUCAGAGGAUCUUUUUAGGGUUAUAAAAUUUUCAUAAUUCUUAAUUGAGUAAAAUUUCAGGUCAAGGUGCAGCAUUAUAAUUAAGUGGAGGCGGGUUACAUUAGGUUUUACUUUGUCGGUUUUAUUUAUUUAAAUUUAUAACUAAGUUGGAUUUGAUAGUAAUUUGUUUAACAUUAUUCAUUUGAUAUUGGCUCUGAGGUGUGUACACAUCGCCCGUCACUCUCAUUAUUUAUGUUUUUAUAAUUGGUUUAUUUUAGUUGAGAUAAGUCGUAACAUAGUAGGCGUACUGGAAAGUGUGUCUAGAAAGAAA